rnacentral:lncRNA from 1 species
AGAAUUGUGGUAGGAUUUUCCUAUACAAAUACUUGUCUGUGCCCUGCAUCACCCCGAGCACAGUUCUACAAAAAUACCUGCACAAAUAAUGAUGUCAAGGAGGAGAUACAGAGAAGUAGAACUUCUUUUUCUCUCCCACCUUCAUCAGCUGCAGUAUCUCACUAUCAGUUAAAGCUGGCAGAGAGAUCAGUGACAAGUGCCAAGAGAUAAGGAAGACACAGACUGCUGAGGACAACUUUGAGAAGUAUCUCCUGUGAAGGAUCUGCUCCAGAGCUGACUUAGAUUCUUCUUUGUCAAGGCAGAGGCUAAACUUCGGAGUCGUGUCAAGGCUAUUUUUAUGAUACUAAGAUCUCCCUGGGAAUUUAUGAGACUCUCUCUUUGGAUUUAAAUUAUCUCUUCAGGAAAUGUGGGUUAUAGAUCAGUCAUUUGAAGCCAGCUGACCUCAGUCACCUUCAGUGACAGGUCACUUGUGCUGUGUCCAGUCCAGUUGAACCCUUCAAAGAUGGAGAUUCUGCAAGUUCUGCUGAGUGCUGAUUGCUGUAACGCAUGUAUGAAGAUACCUGGGAACAAGAAGAUAUUUACUGAGAAUAAAGAUCCCAGUUCAACAUGACACUCUUCACAAUCCCACACUUGGACUGACCCUGUUCUAUCUUGGUUAACCCAGGAAAGCUGCACCCAGUUGUUUUAGGAGUUAAUCUGUAGCUUCGCUGCAAGGGACUGGCUCAGAAGGUAAAAAUUAUAUUCCAGCCAAUGUAUUAUUAAGUUCUUUACCCCUUUAAAAAUCCUUUUCCUGAAUUACUGCAUUUCUAGACUGACCUGAGACAUGCCAUGAGGACAGAUGCCUAGUCUCUAUGAUUUUCAUAAAUGUUCAAUACAUAAGAAAUAGUCUUCUGGCUUUACUUUUAUUUUUUCUUUUAAAUAACCUUCUUGAAUAUUUAUCUUAUUGAUCAGAUAGCUUUUUGGAAAAGAAACAGCUGAGAUAAUGUGGCCUUUUCAUUGACAAAAGAUUUAUGUCUUGCUUGGAAGGACUUGAUACUUCGAGGGCUCACAGCAGACAUAGUCAAACACAAGUAGCACAUAGUCCCGUUCUUAUCCAGGGG